GUCACCCAGGCUUCAGGCAUAACUGUUAAAGCUUGUAUCCAACAUUACUUUGUGAAAGAACAGUUCUAACAAUUUUGUGUGGGACCAUCCACUGAAGAGUGGCCAUCACACCUUGAGCCACACUCUCAAAGAAAACCGACACUCUCCCAGCAAUUAUCAGCUCCUCAGUGAGAGGUAAAUUCCACAGUGGACUGUUGUCAGGCUCCAUCUUGUGCAUCUCUUGGACAGACAACCACCAGUCCUUUGAGGUCAUGAGUGCAGUGGACUUGUCAUGUCUAGAAGAUAUUGUUCUCUUCUGAUCCUCCCUGACCUCUGGCUCUUAAAAUCUUUUCUCCCCACUUCCAUGAUGGUCCCAGAGCCUUGGGGAGGAGUGUGAUAUAGAUGCCCCAUUUAUGACUGAGCUCCACUGACACUUCUCUGCACUUUGACCCGUUGUGAGUUUCUGCGUUAACCACAAUCCACUGCACAAAGAAACUUCUUUGAUGAUGUUUGAGAGCUGCAUUAAUCCGAGUCCGGAUCCUGCUCUCUUCCUCUAGAAAUUUCAGAGUUUCCAGUCUAGUAGGUCAAUCUGGAAUUGACUUGCACUGUAGACCCCUCGAGAGUCUACGUAUGCGACCACAUCGUCUACCACUGGAGGUGGUUUUACUUCUUCUUCCUUUUCCAUGUAAUGGUUCUUCUGCUUCUCCUUUCAUCUCCCCUCCUUUGAUCCUCCAAUACAGUAUGGGUUCAAACACUCCUUUCUGUCUUAUUCCUGAUAAUACAGAUGCUCUGUGUUGAGGUAUUUGAGAAAGUCCCCUUCCUUCAUUAGUGGGUUUUUUUUGGGGGGGGCAUGUUUUUAUUAAAGAAAGUUAUUCUAUCUGGGUUUAUUGACUGAUCUUUUCCAAUAGCAAAGUAAUUUUUAUUUGUUCAAAAAUUCCUCUUAAAAACAAUUUUUUUUAUCUUGUAGCAAAAUAAAACUGAUUUUUAAUUG
rnacentral:lncRNA from 1 species